AACACUGUUAACCUGCGGUACCUGCGGAAGGAUCAUUACCGAGUUUACAACUCCCAAACCCCUGUGAACAUACCACUUGUUGCCUCGGCGGAUCAGCCCGCUCCCGGUAAAACGGGACGGCCCGCCAGAGGACCCCUAAACUCUGUUUCUAUAUGUAACUUCUGAGUAAAACCAUAAAUAAAUCAAAACUUUCAGCAAUGGAUCU
rnacentral:misc_RNA from 1 species